GGGUGUAUAGUUCAAUGGUAGAACACGAGCCUCCAGAGCUUGAGAUGGGGAUUCGAUUUCCCCUGCGCCCA
rnacentral:tRNA from 1 species